GCUGGGACACAGGGUGCUUAGGGCAGUGCAAAAAGCAGAGUGGGAAAGGAAGCUGAACUGCUUGCUCCCUUCCUACUCGGCUUCUCAGGGCUUGACAGAGGUGAAUUUGGUCAAUGGACUUACUUUCUUUCUCUUUAGCAGCCCAAAGGGAGCCUUCAGGCACAUGACACAUCAUCACUGCCCACGGUCAUUAUGAGAAACAAGCCCUCACAGCCCAAGGAGCGUCCUCGGUCCGCAGUCCUCCUGGUGGAUGAAACCACUACCACCCCAAUAUUUGCCAAUAGACGAUCCCAGCAGAGUGUCUCACUCUCCAAAAGUGUCUCCAUACAGAACAUUACUGGAGUUGGCAAUGAUGAGAACAUGUCAAACACCUGGAAAUUCCUGUCUCAUUCAACAGACUCACUAAAUAAAAUCAGCAAGGUCAAUGAAUCAACAGAAUCACU
rnacentral:sRNA from 1 species